GUGCUUCAGCCGCUCUCCGUCGAUGGCGUCCUCCGUCAUUUGGGCCACCGGAGUCCCUGCAACCCGGCAGGAGGAUGGCACUCAAGUCCACGGCUGCUUCCAGACUUUUCAGGCUCUGACCAGCUAGGGCCAAAGGGACUGAGUUCCUGCCUAUGUUGUAUUCAUCAGUGUGUAACAUCCAGCUCUCCAGGAAGAAAAGCUCUUGAUUUGUAGUGCUGCCAAUUUCCUUGGUGUAAAUAUCUCCACCAUGAUGGAUCUCAAGCUACCACCGUGACUGCAGGAACAUUUUUUAGGUAAAGGAAACCUCAGACAGAACCUUGGUAUACAGAAAUGUACAACAAGCAAAUAUGAAGAUGCCCUGAUUUGAAACAGGGAUGGGGACCCCAAACUAGAACUGUGCUGAGUGGCUUUGGAGUCCCAGGCAGAAGGAAAACUAUGUACCUUGCGUAUAAUUUAUGAUAAAUUAUAACUAAAUAAACUUAUACUAGA